rnacentral:rRNA from 1 species
UAAUACGUAGGUGACGAGCGUUAUCCGGAAUUACUGGGCGUAAAGCGCACGCAAGCGGUCUGACAAGUCUGGCGUGAAAUCCUCUGGCUUAACCAGGGGCGGUCGCUGGAAACUGUUGGGCUUGAGGCGAUGAGAGGGGUGCAGAAUUCCCGGUGUAGUGGUGGAAUGCGUAGAGAUCGGGAGGAAUACCAGUGGCGAAAGCGGCACCCUGGCGUCGUACUGACGCACAUGUGCGAAAGCGUGGGGAGCGAACGGGA